AUGGGUCCUGCUGCUAUGUUGAACAAAGAGCAUACUCAAAGCAGCAGCAAGCCGAAUGAGGAGUUUCAACAUCUACAUCGCCCUGAGCUGCUCAUUGCCGUGGCGCGUGGCGACUUCAAUGAAAUUAAGCGCCUUCUUUUUCUUCUUCUUCUUCUUCUUCUUCACAAGGAAGGGGAAGGGGAAGGGGAAGAUGAAGAUGCAGCGCACCAGCCGGUGGAACUUGUCCUCCAUGUCGACGAGAAAAUCACCGGCAUCAAGGAUACCGUCGUGGCCGACAUCACCGGUGCAGGCCAUGUGGCGGCGUCUAGUGGAGACGCCGAUCAAUUCUUAAAGUGCGCAACGCUGAUCGCCGACGAAGCCAGUCACCUCCUCGGCGCCCGCAACCGGAAGGGCGACACCCCCCCGCACUGCGCCGCCCGGUUCGGGAAUGCUAGGAUGGUCUCUCAUCUCUUGGCUCUGGCAAGAGCCACUGGAAAUGAUGAUGAGAGGGUGAAGGUGAUCCUAAGAGUCCAGAACAACAAGCAAGAGACGGUGCUGCACGAAGCCGUCCGUUUGGAAGCCAUGGAAAUAAUCGACCCACAGCUAGCUCGUUUUCCGCUGACCGCCCUUGUACUUGGCCCUCUCGCUGGGUCACAGGGACAUUGCCCGGCUGCUCUUUGA
rnacentral:rRNA from 1 species